UCCGGCGUAGCUCAGUUGGUAGAGCGCUCGACUGUUAAUCCAGAUGUCGUCAGUUCGAGUCUGACAGCCGGGG
rnacentral:tRNA from 1 species